GGAUUCCCCUAGUAACUGCGAGUGAAGCGGGACAAGCUCAAAUUUAAAAUCUGGNAGAUGUUUGUCUGUCCGAGUUGUAACCUADAGAAKUGUAACCUGUGCUGGACCGUGUACAAGUCUCCUGGAAUGGAGCAUCAUAGAGGGUGAGAAUCCCGUCUUUGACAUGGACUACCAGUGCACUGUGGUUGCACACUCAACGAGUCGAGUUGUUUGGGAAUGCAGCUCUAAAUGGGUGGUAAAUUCCAUCUAAAGCUAAAUAUUGGCGAGAGACCGAUAGCGAACAAGUACCGUGAGGGAAAGAUGAAAAGAACUUUGGAAAGAGAGUUAAACAGUAUGUGAAAUUGUUGAAAGGGAAACGCUUGAAGUCAGCUGCWUUAGCUGGGGAUCAAGCCAGCUUUUUUGCUGGGUGUACUUCCUGGUUGAUGGGCCAACAUCAGUUUUGACCAUCAGAGAAAGGCUAAGGGAAUGUGGCACCUUUAUAGGUGUGUUAUAGCCCUUGGUUGUAUGUGAUGGUUGGGACUGAGGACAGCAGUGUGCCGCAAGGCCGGGUUUCGACCACGUUCAUGCUUCGGAUGUUGGCAUAAUGGCUUUAABCGACCCGUCUUGAAACACGGACCAAGGAGUCUAACAUGCAUGCGAGUGUUUGGGUGGAAAACUC
rnacentral:rRNA from 1 species